UUAAAAGUUACACAAUUAUAUUUCAUUCAUCCUGUAAUAUAUGUGAAGUGUAGCAACAUAAAAAGCAACCGUUUCAACAUAAAAACCAAGCACAAGAAUAACAAACAUGAAACGAACAUGGCGCGUGCAGAAGGCAUACAUUUUGUCGUAGAAAAUUUAUUUUUCCGGUGCUCCGUGGAUCGAUUCGCUGCUGCUUUCGAAGAAUCGCAUUUUAUCGACCACUUCUCCACCGUCACCAAGGACGAGCUCGUGAAUGUUUUGGGAGCUGCCGGAUGCAGCUGCGACGGGAAGUUUUCAGAGCCCAGUGACGACGUGCUAUAUGGACAGCUAAAGUUAUCUAAAGUCAAGUGUUAAAAUCGAUAUUAAGAUCAAUAAAAUCUGCUUGAUCGCGUA